rnacentral:rRNA from 1 species
AACGAACGCUGGCGGCAUGCCUAACACAUGCAAGUCGAACGAGACCUUCGGGUCUAGUGGCGCACGGGUGCGUAACGCGUGGGAAUCUGCCCUUCGGUUGGGAAUAACUGAGAGAAAUUUCAGCUAAUACCUUAUAAUGUCUUCGGACCAAAGAUUUAUCGCCGAGGGAUGAGCCCGCGUAGGAUUAGGUAGUUGGAGGGGUAAUGGCCUACCAAGCCGACGAUCCUUAGCUGGUCUGAGAGGAUGAUCAGCCACACUGGGACUGAGGCACGGCCCAGACUCCUACGGGAGGCAGCAGUGGGGAAUAUUGGACAAUGGGCGAAAGCCUGAUCCAGCAAUGCCGCGUGAGUGAUGAAGGCCUUAGGGUUGUAAAGCUCUUUUACCCGGGAUGAUAAUGACAGUACCGGGAGAAUAAGCUCCGGCUAACUCCGUG